rnacentral:rRNA from 1 species
GAUGAACGCUGGCGGCGUGCCUAAUACAUGCAAGUCGAGCGAACGGACGAGAAGCUUGCUUUGCUGAUGUUAGAGGCGGACGGGUGAGGAACACGUGGAUAACCUAUCUAUAAGACUGGGAUAACUUCGGGAAACCGGAGCUAAUACCGGAUAAUAUUUUGAACCGCAGGGUUCAAAAGUGAAAGACGGUCUUGCUGUCACUUGUAGAUGGAUCCGCGCUGCAUUAGCUAGUUGGUAAGGUAACGGCUUACCAAGGCAACGAUGCAUAGCCGACCUGAGAGGGUGAUCGGCCACACUGGCACUGAGACUCGGUCCCGACUCCUACGGGAGGCAGCAGUAGGGAAUCUUCCGCAAUGGGCGAAAGCCUGACGGUGCAGCGCCGCGUGAGUGAUGAAGGUCUUCGGAUCGUAAAACUCUGUUAUUAGCGAAGAACAUAUGUGUAAGUAACUGUGCACAUCUUGACGGUACCUAAUCAGAAAGCCCCGGCUAACUACGUG